GUGAAAUGAUGAUUUAGUUUAUCCAUUCGCUGAGUGCGCUGCACUGACCUCCUUCCAGGCCUUAGUUCCUGUUCUAGGAACUCCAGGCUGCGUAGCCUCCAAAUGCCCUGCUGUCUGCAGUGUUCUACUGCUGACGGCUGGGUGUUUCUAGACUACUGGUGAGGCUGGUUGGUGUCAGCAGGGAUGGGUCCCUCAGGUACCAUCUCACAAAGAUGAGUGGUGAAAAUCUGAUCAC
rnacentral:snoRNA from 1 species